GACGAACGCUGGCGGCGUGCCUAAUACAUGCAAGUAGAACGCUGAAGGAGGAGCUUGCUUCUCUGGAUGAGUUGCGAACGGGUGAGUAACGCGUAGGUAACCUGCCUGGUAGCGGGGGAUAACUAUUGGAAACGAUAGCUAAUACCGCAUAAUAGUAGAUGUUGCAUGACAUUUGCUUAAAAGGUGCAAUUGCAUCCCUACCAGAUGGACCUGCGUUGUAUUAGCUAGUUGGUGGGGUAACGGCUCACCAAGGCGACGAUACAUAGCCGACCUGAGAGGGUGAUCGGCCACACUGGGACUGAGACACGGCCCAGACUCCUACGGGAGGCAGCAGUAGGGAAUCUUCGGCAAUGGACGGAAGUCUGACCGAGCAACGCCGCGUGAGUGAAGAAGGUUUUCGGAUCGUAAAGCUCUGUUGUAAGAGAAGAACGAGUGUGAGAGUGGAAAGUUCACACUGUGACGGUAUCUUACCAGAAAGGGACGGCUAACUACGUG
rnacentral:rRNA from 1 species